CAAGACCUGUCUGUUCAGAUUCUUGAACUUUCUUUCGAUUGUAGCAUUUCUCCUUUCAGGAUACAGUACAGGAUCCUUUCUGGAAUGGAGGUCUUAUGAGCUGCUAUCGAACACGGCAGAGCCUGUUGGUGACCUGCACACAGGAGCCCUCCAGUCAGUACUGAUUGAAUUACUCAAGGCUGCCUCUCUGCAAAGUUGAGGUAGCUCAUGGUGCUCCCUUCCUUGGUGCAGACGGGCAGUUCAAACCACACAAACUCCAGCCUGUGGGAGAGGGAUCCUUCAUCCUGGACGCGCCUGCCCUCUGCCCAGCCACUAUAAAAACCAGAGCCACGUGCCCCUUCUUUUGCUUGAGUGUGGGCCCUGCUGUCCCCAGAAAGCCUCAUUACGCGGUGGAGAACUACUGAGGACUUCUGAGCAGAGAAGUUGGUGGAAGAGGAAGCACCAAAAAUCCAUCUCAUCACCUAGAGAGCAUUGUACUGGCAGAACUGUCUAAAGUGACUAUUUUGGAACUCUGGGAUCAAUUUGAAUACUUGCAGCUUCCAAAGGAAAGAUGGGCAAUCACAUCUCCAUACCACAGGACACACCCCUUGGAUGCAUCCUCAAGAACUGGGAAAAGUUUGACCCACAAGCUCUAAAAAGGAAAAGGCUAAUUUUUUUUUGUCACACAGCCUGGUUCUGAUAUGGACUUGGGGACCAGCAAUCUUGGCCAGAAAAUGGAAGUAUUAAUUUUAAUACUAUCCAUCAACUAGAUUCGUUUUGCUGCCAGCAGGGAAAAUGGACAGAAAUCCCUUAUGCACAGGCUUUCAUGGCCGUAAGAGACAACCCUGACCUUUGUUGG
rnacentral:sRNA from 1 species